CCGCGAAUUCGCCCUUGGAUCCAGACUUUGAUCCUGGCUCAGGAUGAACGCUAGCUACAGGCUUAACACAUGCAAGUCGAGGGGAAACGACAUCGAAAGCUUGCUUUUGAUGGGCGUCGACCGGCGCACGGGUGAGUAACGCGUAUCCAACCUGCCCAUCACUUGGGGAUAACCUUGCGAAAGUAAGACUAAUACCCAAUGAUAUCUCUAGAAGACAUCUGAAAGAGAUUAAAGAUUUAUCGGUGAUGGAUGGGGAUGCGUCUGAUUAGCUUGUUGGCGGGGUAACGGCCCACCAAGGCGACGAUCAGUAGGGGUUCUGAGAGGAAGGUCCCCCACAUUGGAACUGAGACACGGUCCAAACUCCUACGGGAGGCAGCAGUGAGGAAUAUUGGUCAAUGGACGAGAGUCUGAACCAGCCAAGUAGCGUGCAGGAUGACGGCCCUAUGGGUUGUAAACUGCUUUUAUAAGGGAAUAAAGUGAGAGUCGUGACUCUUUUUGCAUGUACCUUAUGAAUAAGGACCGGCUAAUUCCGUGCCAGCAGCCGCGGUAAUACGGAAGGUCCGGGCGUUAUCCGGAUUUAUUGGGUUUAAAGGGAGCGUAGGCCGGAGAUUAAGCGUGUUGUGAAAUGUAGACGCUCAACGUCUGCACUGCAGCGCGAACUGGUUUCCUUGAGUACGCACAAAGUGGGCGGAAUUCGUGGUGUAGCGGUGAAAUGCUUAGAUAUCACGAAGAACUCCGAUUGCGAAGGCAGCUCACUGGGAGCGCAACUGACGCUGAAGGCUCGAAAGUGCGGGUAUCGAACAGGAUUAGAUACCCUGGUAGUCCGCACGGUAAACGAUGGAUGCCCGCUGUUGGUCUGAAUAGGUCAGCAGGCCAAGCGAAAGCAUUAAGCAUCCCACCUGGGGGAGUACGCCGGCAACGGUGAAACUCAAAGGAAUUGACGG
rnacentral:rRNA from 1 species